rnacentral:lncRNA from 1 species
UAAGUAUAUGUUGGUGGGCUCAGCCGAUCUCCCAAUGGCUUCCAAUCUGAUCCUGUGAAUACCAACCAUUUUCCUUUUGGUUUUGGCAGACUUUUGGCAAAUCCCUGUGUCCUAGCUAGGUUUUUUUUUUUUUGCUCAAGUUAAUUUCUGCCAACUUAAUGGAUUCUGGUCAAUCCUGAUGAUUUCAGUUGAUUUCCAGUCAUUUAAAAAAAACAAAAAGUUUAUUCCAUAAAUGGUUUUGAUGGGUACAAAUUUAUCCUGUUCCAAAAUCCUACAAGUGACCCUGAACCCAACCUUAUCCUGUUCCAAAAUCCUACAAGUGACCCUGAACCCAACCUUAUCCUGUGAACCUUAGCAGUUGUAUUUAGCGCCUGUUACUCUGCAUCUAAAACCACUAUUGCUCAAUAGAUACUUCUUAUCAACCAGCAACUGGUACCUUACUUAAAAGGGGAGCUUGAACUCUUUGUUGUAGUGUAUGUGGGUCAAGAUUGUCAUUAUGCUCUUAAAAUAUGUAAACUUCACAUGCUCAAGUAAUCAUGAUUAGACAUCAGAUAUUUCUAUAUUUUUCUUCACCUCAAAAGGGGUAGUAUUUGUCUUGCCAUAUUUGGAUCUCAUUUAUAGCAUGUGAGAGUCAUGAUGAUAAGCCAUCAUCGUGCUGCUUCUUGUAUUUGGUGUCCAGUAUGUUGUAUAUGGAGUUCACAAAAUUCAUCAAUUGGAUAAUUUUUGGUCAUUAAAUCCUUUCUUUUUAGUUUAAUGGUCUUGGGAUUGUUGUUAUGCAU